ACUAAGUGACUAAUGGGUGGGAAUGGAAAAGGUUGGACAAAAAGAUGAAUCACCGUCUGGGUGGAUUUACCUCCUAGAGGCUGUUGGCAGUACCUCGAGGUUAGAAGGAAGCAAAUGCCACCAAGAGCCUGCAAGUAAGUGGGACCAGCACUUGGCCCUGCUGCUCGACCCGAAGCCUAGCUCUUCACACGGGGGCUCUCCCCCCGACGGAGCCCAAGAGCAGCUCUACAGAGCAACAGAAAAAGUUCACCCCCUGAGGACAAAAAGUAGACCUUCAGACUUCUCUGCAAACCUCCAGAACUCAGCUAAACAUAGAGCAGGGGCAGCUGGUUUAUGAUGCUUCACAGGUGAUGAGAAAAAAUAUCCCCAACCUGGCCGGGAGAUGCCGCGCAGCCCUAAGGGACAGAGCACUGAGAACGGAACCGGAGACUCCUGCCCUUGCAGCUCUCCUUGCAGCCUGACACUGUUUCAAAAGAGGAGGAAGGACAAAAUUCAGCACUAAGAGGGAGUUCUCGAAAACUGGCCUACACUGCAGCACUGUCCCGUGGACUGCGCUCAGGUAGGAGGGACAUGUGUAGGAGUAUCCAUCGCCUCUUUGGAAGCCGGUCCUUUUCAGUCGCUGCCCAAGAAGUCCCAAAAGGAAGCCCUCGGGUUCUGCUCCACAGCAAAUAGUGUCACUGUGAAGUUUCAGUGUAAUAAAGAGAUGAUUCAGGCAUUACUCAGAGAAACCAUAGCAUUUCAAAGAUGUACUCCUGGACCACAGCAUGUACAGUGAUGCGAGCUUCGUCUUCCUGCCACAGCCUUUGCAUUUAGUGUCAGAUCUGAGUAAUAAGUGACACGUUAAAUGACUGGUGACAAUGUUUACCCUUCCUCCCUCCCCACCCCCACUGCACUCAGAAGUCAGCCAACAUGACAAAAUUUCAGUGCCAAAAACUUCACCGAGAACAGUGAAACUUUGAGCCUCUCCAUUUUCCCACAAGUCUCAAAGCGAUACUGGAAAUUUUUUUUCUUUGUCCCCAGUGUAAUCGAAAAAUAUGUUUUUAU
ensembl:lncRNA